UCACUUUGGGAUGAAGUGUGGGAGAAAAAGGGGGGAGAGGCUUGAGAGAAAAAAGGAGGAGAGAAAAGGCUGAAAAAAAAGUGCGAGGAAGCACACACAACACAGAACGAAAAGUUCAUGCAAUCCUACAGCAAAAGACUGGUGACCUUUUAAAAGGCUCAAAUAACUUGCAGACACCCGGCUAUCGUCUCGAGCUAAAUUCAGGAAAGCUAAUUUGAUCAACGGCUGGAAAGACGAAGACGAGGGGGAGGUGAAGCGCUGAAGAAGAGGUCUGCAAAACAUUGAGGGUCAAAUUUAUGUGCCAUAUUUAGGAGGACUGGAACAAGCUACCUACUGAGCCACGAACGUGAAAUCUACCCCAUUUCCAAAAGGAAAUUUUGAAAAGAUCCCCUUUGCCAAGGAUCAAGAUGGACUUAAAAGACCUCAAGGAGUUCGGUCUCACGAAGGUUAUGCAAAAGCUGCAAGGGCUGCCACAAGCCAAUCCACUAGAAAUUGGGGCCUUUUGCGUGAUCGUCCUCUUUGUCACCACAUUCUUUACCAUGAUGAUCGUUUCUUGCCUCCACUGCUGCUGUUGUGUGGACACAAAGUAUCAGGCCUCCAGAGUGGAACCGCUGCAGCCCAUUUGAAGAUGUUAAAAAAAAAAAAAAAAAUUGGAGCUUUAAAUGAAUGAAGCAUUAUGCUCCAUAUUAACAUGGGGAGGGGGGAUAUUGAAGGUUGGUUUUUUUGUAGGAUUACCAUCAGAGUGUGUUUCAGUCACUUAGAGGAGUGAAUCUGAAUCAGAAAAUUCUAACUGUGUCACAACUCCUUGGUCAAAAAUAAGGAAGCAGAUGAGUCCUCCCUAAAUUCUUACUGUUAUUAUUCAUCAAGAAAGGAGACCACACCACAGAAUUAUUGCUUGCUUCAUGUAUGUUGUACUUUCAUAUUUUUAUGUAAAGUUCAAUUUGAAUACUUAACACUUUUCCGGUAAUUGUGUACAAAACUUAUGUUGUUGAACAAUGUCUUUUGGAUAAUGUCACAGUUUAUGUCCAUAGAUACGGCUUGAAGGAAUUGAUAAAAAAAUUUGUUGGAGUUUUAACAAUUGGCUGAAUUGGGGAGAUGUGUAAGUUGCAGUAGGAUCCAUACAAUAUUUAAAUACUCCUACUCAGGUACAUUUUUUGAACUACGAUUAGCCUUUUUGUUAUUCUGUGUUAUGCACCAUAUUGCACAUGACAUCCCGAUGCGAGAAAUGUCACAAACACGAAACUUAUUCUUGUAUUUUACAAGAGCAUAUCAGUAUAUAAGGAUGAAUGAGUGUGAGUGAAUUAUUUUCUAUAAAUAAACGAUGUUGAAAAUCACAA